rnacentral:lncRNA from 1 species
CAGGAACCCAUCCACCCGUCCCCAGCUCUCAUCACUCUGACCUCUGGCUUUUUGUUUCCUGGGGCAUUUCACAGCAAAUUCCACCUAUGAGACCGUCUCAUCCGUAAUACACCAGUACAUGCUUCCAGCAGCUUGGUGACAUGAAAGGACCUCCGUGGCUGGCCUUACUCCCUGUGGAUGCCACAGCUGCAGGAUCCUGGGGCCCCAACAGAAGCCGGUGAAGGAAGAGUUCCUGCUCCAGCAGGUGCCUGGUCUCCACCUUCAGGGGCUGCUCCAGGAGAGUGGCAAUUUGGGGCAGCAGGAGGAAA